UACGUAGGGUGCAAGCGUUGUCCGGAAUUAUUGGGCGUAAAGAGCUCGUAGGCGGCUUGUCACGUCGGGUGUGAAAGCCCGGGGCUUAACCCCGGGUCUGCAUUCGAUACGGGCAGGCUAGAGUGUGGUAGGGGAGAUCGGAAUUCCUGGUGUAGCGGUGAAAUGCGCAGAUAUCAGGAGGAACACCGGUGGCGAAGGCGGAUCUCUGGACCGUAACUGACGCUGAGGCGCGAAAGCGUGGGGAGCAAACAGG
rnacentral:rRNA from 1 species